UGCUCACUCCAAAGAAUUAAAAAUAUUGCUGUUCAAAAUUUUAUGCAUUUUCUACUUGUUCUUAUUUAUGUGAAGUGGGGUCUAAGAGUUAAUUGACUUAUUCUUCAGACAGCAAAUGUUCAUUUCUCUCUCUGGGUAUGUCUAGAACUGAGAUAAACUUGAUCAGGUCCAGGAACUGUCUUGCCAUUGCAGCAUAGUAAAUGAGAUGAAAUGCAGGAUGAUUGGGUGAUACAGAAAUGCAUACUAUUCCUGCCUGACAGUUUCUGGUAAUCAAGUUGCCUUAACAUUCUUACUAUAUCCUGUGUUCUAUAAUCCCAGAAGUGGACCUCACUUCCUUCUAUAGAUUGACUAGAGCAUGCAGCUGGGAGGUGCCACUUGAGCUCCCCCACUGGACACACACUAGACUUGUUGGCUCCUUCUAGUCAGCUUACGGGCUUCCAAAGCAACAAGGACAGGCAGUGAAGACCCUGUAGUGAGUCUGCCAUGGUCUUAGGUGAAACACCUUUUCAGGUUAAAAUAGUCUAAGAAAGUGUGGAUGGUCAAAUGGGAGCUGACCAGCAGAUCCCAAGGCACUAUCUACAAGGGUGCAAUCCAAUCAAUGUUUAAUUUCCCAAACUGGCCCAGUGAGAAGAUUUAUUUCAUUCUGUUUGUCCUGCAAACAAUAUUCAUUCUGAAGUUUUAGGCUUACACUUCUCUGGUGCCAGAUUUGGAGGGAAUCAGCAAUUUCACUGCCAUUGUGGCUAAAGAGGAACAAUAGUUUAAUACUAAGGAAUCCUGGUUUGGAUCUAAGCAGGAAUCCACGUAGCCAAGAUGUGCACCAUCGCCUUGAAAAUUGGAUACACAUACAGCAGAAUUUAAUCCAUACACAAAAUAGAUCAUCUGUGCCAAUGGAAUAAAAUGACCUCUCUCAAGUCUGGACUGUCACAACUGUGUCUUUUUUUAGAUUACAUAAGCAGUUUUUAGAAAUGGACUUGAAUCCAGGUGUAAGCAUCUAGAACUAAGAAUUUUCCAGAGUUCAGUCUACUGGCAUAUAUUAACAGGGCUUUGAUUCAGUCCUACCUUAACAUGCAAUAACUUUUAGAUUUGCAGCACAGUGGAUUGCAUGUACCAAAUACACCUGAAAGAAUAAUAUAGGCAACAAACUUUCCUCAGUUCAAUAUCCUUUUUGCUCCUUUUCUUUCAAGUGUAAAAAUGCAAUUGCCUGCAGACAGAAAGAAGCAGUCUUGACAAAGGAGUGCAUAUGUUCUAACAUUAGUCUUGAUUAAAAUAAAGCCUGCAACAUAUUUUAUGACUGUGUUUGUGUAACAUAUAACUUUCCAUAGGAGACGGUCCUAACCAUUACCUGUUUAUCUAUUUAAAGCAGGAUGCUCUGCUAUUCAUUACAUGCAAACGAUAUAUGAAUACGCUGACACAUUUAUUGUUAAGGUCAAUACAAUGAUAGGAUUUGAUCCUCUUUCUUUGUUGCUUGGGAAAGAAAAUCAAAUA